CAAUCGUGCCAGGAAAGCUCUAUGAACUGAAGAUUUUCGCCCUCACAGAUGGCAAGAUCUGGGCUUCGGGUUCGACCAGUGCUUACUCCAAACAGAUUGCUCCACUCCGUGCUCCGACAUUAUAUCCCGUCCGAGUCUGGAAGUCCCAGGUUGAGUUGCAGUGGGAGAUUCUCCCUUUGGAGGAACGUGGCGGGGUGAUACGAAAUUACACCGUCUUCUACAAAAAAGAGGGUGACGACGAACAUACGGCGGUCAUCCUGGACAGCUCCGUACACGGCUACCUCAUUGAAGGCCUGGCUCCUAGCUCCGCCGUGACGGUCUUCAUCACCGUCGCCAACGAUGGAGGGAGCACAGACGGACCCAUCCUGACCAUCCAUACCAAGGACUCCGAUUACGGCGAAACCGAAAUUCUCUCCUCUGUCCUUUGCGUGGGGUUCUUCUUCGUCCUCCUUGCCGGAUCCCUGGCCUGCCUAUGGAAGCAUCGGUUGUGCGUGUCCAUAAAACAUCGCCUUCCCCAUCCCUCUAGGCCCAACCUGUCGUUUGCUAGGGCUCCCA